rnacentral:rRNA from 1 species
UACGUAGGGGGCAAGCGUUGUCCGGAUUUAUUGGGCGUAAAGCGCGCGUAGGCGGCGCGGUAUGUCGUGCGUGAAAUCUCCCGGCUUAACUGGGAGGGGCCGUGCGAAACUGCCGGGCUUGAGGUCGGAAGGGGAAAGUGGAAUUCCGGGUGUAGUUGUGGAAUACGUAGAUAUCCGGAGGAACACCAGCGGCGAAGGCGGCUUUCUGGUCCGAUACUGACGCUGAGGUGCGAAAGCGUGGGGAGCGAUCCGG